rnacentral:lncRNA from 7 species
ACCCUUUAACCGGUGUUCCCCAUUUGAUCUACUCUGUAGGUCCUUUGAUCAAUAGUCUAGGGCACUUCUAGCUAGUCCAGAGCGCAGAUCAGAUCCGGACCGUUCAUUAUUAAUCUGAUGGACGCGAGCUCGUCUUCAACCCUGACAGAGCAGGGCGACAGCGCCCGGCGCAGAUUCACCGGCGAUCACGACCGAAUUGCGCCCAAGCCCCUAAACCCCAAAUUAACAGGUAUACUGCGGUGCUACGUACAUGGCGGAUGCGACUGGAGACUCACCUGUGAUGGAUUUGAUGCCCAGAGAGCUGCCCAUGACGGAGAGCAGCUUUGCGGCGAGUAGAGCACUCCGGUGAGCAAUUGGGCGGUCCGCGAUCGGUCACCGAGCCCCGAAACCCCACCAAUCGGUUCCGCCGGUCUUGGUUAGCACCCCCGGCAACCCAAUGGUCGUGCUCCGGCGAUACCGAGUAAAUAAGGUGGCAGCGGGUCUCUCUUCUCCCUCGGUAUCGCUCCCGGGACCUUCUCGCGGUAUGGAUUGAGGCAAGAGCGGCGACGUCGGGUUGGAUAUAUAGGCGGGCGGGUCACACGGUCAUAGUUGGCGAGAUGGGCACAAGCGCGCGCGGAUUUCGGAGGGGAGGUUGCGCCG